rnacentral:rRNA from 1 species
GACGAACGCUGGCGGCGUGCUUAACACAUGCGAGUCGAACGGAAAGGCCCUGCUUUUGUGGGGUGCUCGAGUGGCGAACGGGUGAGUAACACGUGAGUAACCUGCCCUUGACUUUGGGAUAACUUCAGGAAACUGGGGCUAAUACCGGAUAGGAGCUCCUGCUGCAUGGUGGGGGUUGGAAAGUUUCGGCGGUUGGGGAUGGACUCGCGGCUUAUCAGCUUGUUGGUGGGGUAGUGGCUUACCAAGGCUUUGACGGGUAGCCGGCCUGGGAGGGUGACCGGCGCCAUGGGUACUGAGAGAGGCCGCAGCGGCGAACGGGGGGAAAUGGUGGGAAGUAUGACGGAGUGGGGGAGAGUGAGUGGAGACGGCCCCGGGUGCGUAAAGAGGUCCUGGGGGUGAAAAACCAGUUCGGCCGGAAAGGAAGGGUGAGUGACGGUAAUGUAAAAGAAAGCGCCGGCUAACUACGUG